GCACUAUAUGCUCAGUGUAGAAGGGUCUUGAGAUCCCACCUUCUCUUCCAGCCACCUGCAGAUGCCAAAGGCGAUGGCUCUACGGCGUCAUCCUUGGCGCCUUCUCCCCAUCCGUCGGAGGAGAGCCAGCUCAAGGAAAAAGACUCCAACACCCCCAACACAGAAACAACAGACGAGGUCGGGAUGAGCACGCAAGACGUCAGCCUGUGUCUGGAGGACAUCAUGGAGAAGAUGAGGAAUGCUUUCCCCAACUCCGAAGGUACCGGGUGCGAAACCAUCCGCAUCUAACAUCCAAACUGGGGGGUGUUUUCCUCUUGAGAUCCAUAUUAACCCAACCCCGCAUUGUGCUGGGAAUGGCAGAGAGACACGUAUUCCAG
rnacentral:lncRNA from 11 species